GGAGACUUGACUCACAGGGUCCCUCCAUAAGAAACCCAGCUGAGUACACCUAAUCACUACAGAGUAUUCUGUUCUUGCUUCUGCCCUUUAUCACUCCAUAAAAAUCUAACAUCAUACCAUGUUGGAUUCCUCAAACAUGAGUAACUCCAGCACAUAAGUGAAAAAUUCAGGAAGAGGUGGGUUCACGGCCAGUAUGAGCUACAUACCAAGGCACUGCUUCACAAUACAAUCAAAAGUAAACUCUACAAUGAGAUCCCCACUGUUAGUGACAGCCCUACUCGAAGCUAUUUCCUCCUCCAAUUCAACAGGCUCUUCCCAAUAAGGUCCACUGAAGGCUUGUCUAAGAACAUUUGAGCAAUGUGUCAGAAGCCGAUGCCUCAUUUUUCUCUCUUCCUUCAGGAUGGCAACUUUAAUGAGGACAAACCCCAGGAAAAUCUCUGAUAACUCCCAACAACCUGUUCAUGUUCGGGUUUACCACUAUGAAGAAUCCUAUGGCUAAGCAAGUAUUCAGGCAUCAAGUACAAAGGACAAGCACAUACGAAUGCUACAUUGCCAAGAAAUUGUUCUAUCCUCCUGCUUCGUGGAUAGAUUGAAAUCGUGGAAAGAACAAACAUCUCCUCCACCAGCGCCUUCGUGAGACAGUGCAUCAAUCCCCAUCUGGACGUCUCAGCUCUUCACAUUGCUCCCCCACAAAAGAGCACACAUCUGAAUGUUGGUUUGGGUUUUUGUUUCCAAACAAAUAGGUUGAAAUUCUUUGCACAUACUCACACCUAAGAAAGUAUAGUACACAAACACGUUUCCAAUAAAACUUCAUGUAAAAAUUAGCCCCAAAGCCAUAAGGAAGUAUGGCUAGGAUAACAGCACAAUAUAAAUAGAACAAGGAUGUGGGUAGGUGACAAAGCAAGCCCCCCCCAAGAAAGGUAGUCUGUUAGCACAAUUGCAUAUUUAAGGAUAAUUUUAGCAUCCAUUAAGAAGACAUUGCCAGCAAUGUUGAGCUUUAUUCUACUUCUCCUUCCCUUGGUAGUUAGCAGCCAUUUCUCUGUGUGACCGGAGCUGCAGAGAGGAAUACCAAGCUGUCCAGUGUCCUCCCUUAGAGGAGCACUGAUCCUACCAGGAAGCCCCACCUUCACAGAACUGUGUCAGUAAUCAUCUCCCAAUGGUCUAAUCUGCCAAAGCCAUCAUUUCAGGAUUAGGAUUCCAAUCUAUGAUUUCUAAAGAGCACAAACUUUCACCCUCUCGUGUACAAGAUCUACAUGACUUUAGUCAAGCUUUAUCUUCUUUAAAAGCCUUACAGUGACCCAAUGAAAUAGAGUCAAGUCAGUUGUUUUCUUUUUUUUUCAGAAAUAAAGAAUUGGUGGUCUUGGGGGUGAAAUUCACUUGUACAAUGUUCACACAGUCAGUAACUACACACUUGAAGGUCUUCAUAAAGAGCCUUUCUAUGUUUUUGGACAUUCAUCUAGCUUUAACUGGCUGAUUGGUCCAUUGGCUAGGAGAGAGGGUGAGGAGAUGAAAGGCUGGGUUUUUGUUUGCUUGCUUAUUUGUUUUCCUUCAGCCAGUGUUCUGGGUCUUAGGAUAUGAAUACUUUAUAACUUCUCUUGACAAGCAUGAAUGUCUAGAGAUAACUCAUUUUUCCUUGUAUGUAAAAUUAAAGAAAUGGUAAGCCAUAUUCAAGUUUUCCUUCUCCAAAUAUUUUAAUUUUUAAGUAUAAAUACUUUCAAAUUACAAGAACAUACUUAGCAAUACACAAAAAUAUAUAAAUUUAAAUUCUAUGGGUGAAAACACUAAUUUUUCUCUGAAUUGUUUUUAUACUCUGAAGGGACAUCAGAAUCUUCUGAAACAUGUCAAAAAUCACAAUAAAGGCAAUGCUUACCGCUUCCUUAAUCUCGGUGCUCACUUAUAAGUUUGCCUCACAAAGGAAAUGUGUUCCAUAGUACUCUUAUGACAGAGAAUAAAAUACUGAGUGAAGAAACAGUGUGGGCAAAGCAGAGUUUGGGGUUGUGUGUGACUGUGGUAGUUCUUUGUGUUUAUGCAAGUGUCUGAAAAAAAAAAACAAAGAAAGCUAGAGAGAGCUAGAACAACUGAGGGAGCCCAGAUACUCACAGCCUGUCUCCCAGCCCACCACUCAAAAGAAGGCAUUCUUCUGCUUGUCCCUCCCUCCUUCAGGAGAAUCUUGACCCACUGUAUUGCUUUCACUUAAUCAGCCACACCAAGAUGGAUACCUGAGCACAGCUUGGUGUGUGCAAACUGUUCCCGGAAUGCUACCAGAAUCUAUUCAUAUUUCCAUCACUGUCAGGAUGAAGGAACACAGCUCAUGACAUGUUGUUGACAAACAGCGGCGAAGAAGUCUCCCUCCAGAAGGGAGUGUUGGUCCAUUCCUAAAAGACGCUCACACAUUCAUCACAUAGAUUUCUCAUGUUGAACUUUAUUCUUGCCAAAUUUCUCCCCAAGAAAUGUCACCAGAAACAACAAAGCAGAAAAUAUGAGAGGGAAAUUCAAGAGAAAGAUCUCUGCCAUUGCACAUCAAGACUGCUGUGCUGUGAGGUCAUUCCCAAGCUGGUUUGACUUCUAGAGCAGGCAAAAUGCUAGCCUCGUCUUCAGUGAAGCCACAUCAAGGGCAGAUUCUGAGAUUUGCUGCCAGGCAUUUGGGAGAAUUUUGAUUGUCUUGUCAUCUCAGAUCCAAAGGAAGUACAAGGAGAAGUAUAAUGAAUUGUUUCUACAAAAAGACAAUUUUAGAUUUCAUGUGAUAUACUUGGUUGAAUAAAAAUACAUUUGAG
rnacentral:lncRNA from 1 species